ACAACGUGAGUUUCGCCGGUGCAGACGCUUGUGUCUUGUCUUGCAAGUUUCCUCAUAAGCACAUAAUCUAAAGGUAAGUCAUGAGAUAUCAGAAGUUAUACUAGUUUAAACGGGUAAUUAAUCGGUGUAAUUGACUUUUAAGAUGGGAUAAUGUUUUAUUAGUUAAAAAAAUUUCUCGAUGCGGAUACCGGCUAGAUACAUGUGUAGGCCAUGUGCGUUAUAGGCGUGUAUGAACACGAGUCCGGUUAUUCAUUUUUCUUUAGCAAUCUAAGAAGAGAUGCGUUAAAAUUACAUUUUUUUCCUCUUUAGUACUCUAAAAUUGCAAUAGAUUAGUAAUAAGUAGGAUUAAACCAUUUUAAUUUUAUUUACCCAGCGCAUGAAAUUAGCUUGAUGACAAAACGCACGUGGAUACCUGUAAAUAGAGAACAAAGGCGACGUUGUGAAUAGAUGUAUAUUUUAUAGUGAGAAUCGAAGUCCGGGUACUAUUGUACUCUAGGCUACAUAAUUGGAAUGUUCUAGAAAAUCUAAAAAUGACGCGCCCCUGAUUCAUCCUAUAUAUAAAUAUAUUGUUAUCAACUCGAUUAAUAAAUGUGUGCCCAUUGUUCAACGAUAUUGAAAUUUUCAUGUUGGGCGAUGGGGGGUUGGGAAUAAAACUCUUAAUAACAUUAAAGUUACUUUCAUAAUUGUAAUGUGAAUAAAACAUGGUUUUAAUUGAAACUCUGUCAUGUAGGAAGUAAAUGGCCAAUCUUUCUUUGCAGAUGCCUGAACCCGAACACAUGGAGGAAGGUGAAGUUGAAACCUUUGCCUUUCAGGCUGAGAUUGCUCAGUUGAUGAGCUUGAUCAUCAACACAUUUUAUUCAAACAAAGAAAUCUUCUUGAGAGAAUUGAUUUCCAAUGCCUCUGAUGCUCUUGACAAAAUCCGUUAUGAAAGUCUCACAGAUCCUUCAAAGUUGGACUCUGGGAAAGAUCUUGAAAUCCGCAUCGUCCCAGACAAGGAGAGCAAGACCCUCACCAUCAUGGACACUGGCAUUGGAAUGACGAAGGCUGAUCUUGUUAACAACCUUGGAACCAUUGCCAAAUCUGGAACCAAAGCUUUUAUGGAAGCUCUGCAGGCUGGAGCUGACAUUUCCAUGAUUGGACAGUUUGGUGUGGGUUUCUACUCCGCCUACUUGGUUGCAGACAGAGUUGUUGUGGAGACAAAACACAAUGAUGAUGAGCAGUACAUCUGGGAAUCUUCUGCAGGAGGCUCAUUCACUGUCAGAACUUGUUCAGAGAACACCAUUGGGCGUGGAACAAAGAUCACGCUGUUCUUGAAGGAAGACCAAACAGAGUAUCUGGAAGAGAGGAGGAUCAAGGAAGUAGUGAAAAAGCACAGUCAGUUCAUCGGCUAUCCCAUCAAGCUCCUGGUGGAGAAGGAACGUGACAAGGAAGUGUCAGAUGAUGAAGAGGAAGAGGAGAAGAAGGAGGAAGAUAAGGCAGAGGAGAAGGAAGAAGAUAAACCCAAGGUGGAAGAUCUUGAUGAAGACGAGGAAGAUGAUAGCAAAAGCAAGGACAAAAAGAAAAAGAAGAUCAAGGAGAAGUACACAGAGGAUGAGGAACUGAACAAGACAAAGCCUAUCUGGACAAGAAACCCUGAUGACAUCACACAGGAGGAGUAUGGCGAGUUCUACAAGUCACUGACCAAUGACUGGGAAGACCAUUUGGCUGUGAAGCAUUUCUCAGUGGAAGGACAGUUGGAAUUCAGAGCUCUUCUGUUCAUCCCAAGGAGGGCUCCAUUUGACUUGUUUGAGAACAAGAAGAAAAAGAACAACAUCAAGUUGUAUGUACGCAGAGUAUUUAUCAUGGACAAUUGUGAAGAACUGAUUCCCGAGUAUCUUAACUUUGCACGGGGUGUGGUUGACUCUGAGGAUUUGCCUCUGAACAUUUCAAGAGAAAUGCUCCAGCAAAGCAAAAUUCUUAAAGUGAUCAGAAAAAAUCUUGUGAAGAAGUGUAUCGAAUUGAUCGAAGACCUGACAGAAGACAAAGACAACUACAAGAAAUUCUAUGAACAGUUUGCUAAAAAUCUUAAGCUCGGUAUCCAUGAAGAUUCAACAAACAGAAAGAAGCUUGCAGAUUUCCUGAGGUACUACUCUUCACAGUCUGGAGAUGAAAUGACAUCACUCAAAGACUACGUUUCCAGAAUGAAGGAAAAUCAGAAAUCCAUCUACUACAUCACAGGAGAGAGCAAGGAAGUGGUUCAGUCGUCCGCUUUUGUGGAACGCGUGAAAAAGAGGGGAAUGGAAGUAAUUUACAUGGUUGACCCCAUUGAUGAGUACGCUGUACAACAGUUGAAAGAGUAUGAUGGUAAACCAUUGGUGAAUGUUACCAAGGAAGGAUUGGAACUUCCCGAGGAUGAGGAGGAGAAGAAGAGAUUCGAGGAACAGAAGGCAGAGUACGAGGGAUUGUGCAAAGUCAUGAAGGAUAUCCUUGACAAGAAAGUUGAAAAGGUAGUGGUAUCUAACCGUCUGGUGACAUCUCCUUGCUGUAUCGUAACGAGCCAGUAUGGUUGGUCAGCAAACAUGGAAAGAAUCAUGAAAGCACAAGCACUCCGUGACUCGAGCACCAUGGGAUAUAUGGCAGCCAAGAAACAUCUCGAGAUUAACCCAGAUCACUCCAUCAUCAAGUCAUUAAAGGAUAAGGCUGAGGCAGACAAAAAUGACAAAUCAGUGAAAGAUUUGGUCAUGUUACUGUUUGAAACAUCACUUCUUGCCUCAGGCUUCAGUCUGGAGGAGCCAGGAACACACGCCAGCCGAAUCCACAGAAUGAUCAAGCUUGGUCUCGGUAAGCACAUUGAAUUUCAGGCUCAUUGUUUCUGUGAUUUUGAUUUUUAUAUUUAAUGAGUUAUAGCAUCAAAGAAAGAAGUUAAUGAAUUGUGUCUUGUUUUCUUGAAGGAAUUGAUGAGGACGAGACCCCAGAAACGCAAGAACCCGUCACAGAAGACAUGCCACCUCUGGAGGGAGACGAGGAUGAUGCAUCCCGAAUGGAAGAAGUUGAUUGAGUGUAUAGAACAAACUUUUAAGACUGCAAGUCUCAAAAAUGUUGAAAGCAAAAGAAACAUUUCUUGUUCACUGUAAACAUGUCAAUCCAUUAUUUCAUUUUUGUUUCGUUACAUGUGUUAUUACCGGUAACUCGUCGUUUGUAAAUUUUUUGAUAUGUGAAAUAAAACUAAUUAUGG
rnacentral:misc_RNA from 1 species